rnacentral:rRNA from 1 species
ACUCCUACGGGAGGCAGCAGUGGGAAUAUUGAACAAUGGGGAAACCGUAGCAUGCAGCCAUGCCGCGUGUGUGAAGAAGGCCUUCGGGUUGUAAAGCACUUUCAGUAGGGAGGAAGGUAGUGUAGUUAACACCUGCACUAUUUGACGUUACCUACAGAAGAAGCACCGGCUAACUCCGUGCCAGCAGCCGCGGUAAUACGGAGGGUGCGAGCGUUAAUCGGAAUUACUGGGCGUAAAGCGCAUGCAGGCGGCCUGUUAAGUCAGAUGUGAAAGCCCGGGGCUUAACCUCGGAAUUGCAUUUGAAACUGGCAGGCUGAG